rnacentral:rRNA from 1 species
GAUGAACGCUAGCGGCGGGCCUAAUACAUGCAAGUCGGACGGGAUUGAGGAGCUUGCUUCUCAUGAGAGUGGCGCACGGGUGCGUAACACGUAUGUAACCUACCUUAGUCAGGGGGAUAGCCUCUCGAAAGAGAGAUUAACACCGCAUAAAAUUAUGAUAUGGCAUCAUAUUAUAAUCAAAUAUUUAUUGGACUAAGAUGGGCAUGCGGAACAUUAGCUAGUUGGUAAGGUAACGGCUUACCAAGGCUACGAUGUUUAGGGGAUCUGAGAGGAUGACCCCCCACACUGGUACUGAGACACGGACCAGACUCCUACGGGAGGCAGCAGUAAGGAAUAUUGGUCAAUGGACGCAAGUCUGAACCAGCCAUGCCGCGUGCAGGAAGACGGCCCUACGGGUUGUAAACUGCUUUUGUACCGGAAUAAACCUUUGUAUGUAUACGAAGCUGAAUGUACGGUAAGAAUAAGGAUCGGCUAACUCCGUGCCAGCAGCCGCGGUAA